rnacentral:rRNA from 1 species
GUCCACGCCCUAAACGAUGAACACUCGCUGUUGGCGAUACACAGUCAGCGGCUAAGCGAAAGCGUUAAGUGUUCCACCUGGGGAGUACGCCCGCAAGGGUGAAACUCAAAGGAAUUGACGGGGGCCCGCACAAGCGGAGGAGCAUGUGGUUUAAUUCGAUGAUACGCGAGGAACCUUACCCGGGCUUGAAAGUUAGUGAAGCAUCCAGAGAUGGAUGCGUCCGCAAGGACACGAAACUAGGUGCUGCAUGGCUGUCGU